rnacentral:rRNA from 1 species
GAUGAACGCUGGCGGCGUGCCUAAUACAUGCAAGUCGAGCGAACAGACGAGGAGCUUGCUCCUCUGACGUUAGCGGCGGACGGGUGAGUAACACGUGGAUAACCUACCUAUAAGACUGGGAUAACUUCGGGAAACCGGAGCUAAUACCGGAUAAUAUAUUGAACCGCAUGGUUCAAUAGUGAAAGACGGUUUUGCUGUCACUUAUAGAUGGAUCCGCGCCGCAUUAGCUAGUUGGUAAGGUAACGGCUUACCAAGGCAACGAUGCGUAGCCGACCUGAGAGGGUGACCGGCCACACGGAACCGAGAACCCGGUCCAAACUCCACGGGAGGGCGGCGGUGGGAAUUCUUCCGCAAUGGGCGAAGGCCGACGGGGGCAAGGCGGGGUGGGGAAUAAGGGUCUUCGGUUCGAAAACCUCUGUAUUAGGGAAGAAACAAAGGGGAAGGAAACUAGGCAGGUCUGACGGGUACCAAAUCGAAAGGCACGGCUAACUACGUG